CCUACGGGUGGCAGCAGUGAGGAAUAUUGGUCAAUGGACGCAAGUCUGAACCAGCCAUGCCGCGUGCAGGAAGACGGCUCUAUGAGUUGUAAAGUACUUUCAGCGGGGAGGAAGGGAGUAAAGUUAAUACCUUUGCUCAUUGACGUUACCCGCAGAAGAAGCACCGGCUAACUCCGUGCCAGCAGCCGCGGUAAUACGGAGGGUGCAAGCGUUAAUCGGAAUUACUGGGCGUAAAGCGCACGCAGGCGGUUUGUUAAGUCAGAUGUGAAAUCCCCGGGCUCAACCUGGGAACUGCAUCUGAUACUGGCAAGCUUGAGUCUCGUAGAGGGGGGUAGAAUUCCAGGUGUAGCGGUGAAAUGCGUAGAGAUCUGGAGGAAUACUGGUGGCGAAGGCGGCCCCCUGGACGAAGACUGACGCUCAGGUGCGAAAGCGUGGGGAGCAAACAGGAUUAGAUACCCGAGUAGUC
rnacentral:rRNA from 1 species